AGUGAACGCUGGCGGUAUGCCUAACACAUGCAAGUCGAACGGCAGCACAGUAAGAGCUUGCUCUUACGGGUGGCGAGUGGCGGACGGGUGAGGAAUACAUCGGAAUCUACUUUUUCGUGGGGGAUAACGUAGGGAAACUUACGCUAAUACCGCAUACGACCUACGGGUGAAAGCAGGGGAUCUUCGGACCUUGCGCGAUUGAAUGAGCCGAUGUCGGAUUAGCUAGUUGGCGGGGUAAAGGCCCACCAAGGCGACGAUCCGUAGCUGGUCUGAGAGGAUGAUCGGCCACACUGGAACUGAGACACGGUCCAGACUCCUACGGGAGGCAGCAGUGGGGAAUAUUGGACAAUGGGCGCAAGCCUGAUCCAGCCAUACCGCGUGGGUGAAGAAGGCCUUCGGGUUGUAAAGCCCUUUUGUUGGGAAAGAAAAGCAGCAGGUUAAUACCCCGCUGUUCUGACGGUACCCAAAGAAUAAGCACCGGCUAACUUCGUG
rnacentral:rRNA from 1 species